UACGUAGGGUGCAAGCGUUGUCCGGAAUUACUGGGCGUAAAGGGCGCGUAGGCGGCACAGCAAGUCGGGAGUGAAAGCCCGGGGCUCAACCCCGGAAUGGCUUUCGAAACUGCUGAGCUAGAGUACAGAAGGGGCAACCGGAAUUCCCAGUGUAGCGGUGAAAUGCGUAGAUAUUGGGAAGAACACCUGAGGCGAAGGCGGGUUGCUGGGCUGAUACUGACGCUGAGGCGCGAAAGCCAGGGGAGCAAACGGG
rnacentral:rRNA from 1 species